rnacentral:tRNA from 1 species
AGCAGCAUGUCUUAAUGGAAAGAACAUGGGCUGGGGAAUCAGAGGUUGUGGGUUCUAAUCCUACCUCUGCCA